GCUGGGCAUGGUGGCUCAUGCCUGUAAUCCAGCACUUUGGGAGGCUGAGGUGGGCAGAUCACUUGAGGCCAGGAGUUCAAGGUCAGCCUGGCCAACAUGGUGAAAGCCCAUCUCUA
ensembl:misc_RNA Metazoa_SRP Metazoan signal recognition particle RNA